UCAGGAGGCAGCGCUCUCGAGACGUCUCCACCAUGGCCUGGGCUCUGCUCCUCCUCACCCUCCUCACUCAGGGCACAGGGUCCUGGGCCCAGUCUGCCCUGACUCAGCCUGCCUCCGUGUCUGGGUCUCCUGGACAGUCAAUCACCAUCUCCUGCACUGGAACCAGCAGUGACGUUGGUGGUUAUAACUAUGUCUCCUGGUACCAACAGCACCCAGGCAAAGCCCCCAAACUCAUGAUUUAUUAUGUCAGUAAUCGGCCCUCAGGGGUUUCUAAUCGCUUCUCUGGCUCCAAGUCUGGCAACACGGCCUCCCUGACCAUCUCUGGGCUCCAGGCUGAGGACGAGGCUGAUUAUUACUGCAGCUCAUAUACAAGCAGCAGCACUUUCCACAGUGGUCCAAGUUCAUGGGGAACUGAGACCAAAACCUGCCCUGGGCUCUCAGGCCCCCUCCUUGCUCUGAAGAUGCUUCCUCACCCAGUGCAAGCGGCUUCCUGCAGUGCGGCCUUGAGAAUUCUUCUCUCUCAGCUCCUUCCCUUUCCACCAUGA